ensembl:snRNA U6 U6 spliceosomal RNA
GUGCUUGCUUCAGCAGUGCAUAUACUAAAAUUAGAACAAUACAGAGAUGAUGAGCAUGGCCCCUGGGCAAGGGUGACAUGAAAACUCAAUAAAUCACAUAACAAACUGUU